UGACAGUACAGUAGACUACAGUAGACUAGUCUUAUUGUAAGGGAGGUUAUAGGUUCUAGUGAGGUUGGUGACAGUACAGUAGACUAGUCCUAUUGUAGGGAGGUUAUAGGUUCUAGUGAGGUUGGUGACAGUACAGUAGACUAGUCCUAUUGUAGGUAGGUUAUAGGUUCUAGUGAGGUUGGUGACAGUACAGUAGACUACAGUAGACUAGUCCUAUUGUAGGUAGGUUAUAGGUUCUAGUGAGGUUGGUGACAGUACAGUAGACUACAGUAGACUAGUCCUAUUGUAGGGAGGUUAUAGGUUCUAGUGAGGUUGGUGACAGUACAGUAGACUAAUCCUAUUGUAGGGAGGUUAUAGGUUCUAGUGAGGUUGGUGACAGUACAGUAGACUACAGUAGACUAGUCCUAUUGUAGGUAGGUUAUAGGUUCUA